UACGUAGGGUGCAAGCGUUGUCCGGAAUUAUUGGGCGUAAAGGGCUCGUAGGCGGUCCGUCACGUCGGGAGUGAAAACUUGGGGCUUAACCCCAAGCCUGCUUCCGAUACGGGCGGACUAGAGGUAGGCAGGGGAGAACGGAAUUCCGUGGUGUGAGCGGUGAAAUGCGCAGAUAUCAGGAGGAACACCGGUGGCGAAGGCGGUUCUCUGGGCCUUACCUGACGCUGGAGGAGCGAAAGCGUGGGGAGCGAACAGG
rnacentral:rRNA from 1 species